rnacentral:rRNA from 1 species
CAGCAGCCGCCGCGGUAAUACGUAGGUGGCAAGCGUUGUCCGGAAUUAUUGGGCGUAAAGGGCUCGCAGGCGGUUUCUUAAGUCUGAUGUGAAAGCCCCCGGCUCAACCGGGGAGGGUCAUUGGAAACUGGGAAACUUGAGUGCAGAAGAGGAGAGUGGAAUUCCACGUGUAGCGGUGAAAUGCGUAGAGAUGUGGAGGAACACCAGUGGCGAAGGCGACUCUCUGGUCUGUAACUGACGCUGAGGAGCGAAAGCGUGGGCAGCGAACAGGAUUAGAUACCCCCGUAGUCCCUGUCUCUUAUAC